rnacentral:rRNA from 1 species
AACGAACGCUGGCGGCAUGCCUAACACAUGCAAGUCGAACGAGACCUUCGGGUCUAGUGGCGCACGGGUGCGUAACGCGUGGGAACCUGCACUUAGGUUCGGCAUAACUCCCCGAAAGGGGUGCUAAUACCGGAUAAUGUCUUCGGACCAAAGAUUUAUCGCCUUUGGAUGGGCCCGCGUUGGAUUAGCUAGUUGGUAGGGUAAAAGCCUACCAAGGCGACGAUCCAUAGCUGGUCUGAGUGGAGGAUCAGCCACACUGGGACUGAGACACGGCCCAGACUCCUACGGGAGGCAGCAGUGGGGAAUAGUGGACAAGGGGCGAAAGCCUGAUCCAGCAAUGCCGCGUGAGUGAUGAAGGCCUUAGGGUUGUAAAGCUCUUUGACCCGGGAUGAUAAUGACAGUACCGGGAGAAUAAGCUCCGGCUAACUCCGUG